GAUUUUGUAAAGAGAACCUGUAGGCAACGAACGAUGCUAGACCACCACUUGUCAUCACAAAUCAAUGCCUUACAGGCAUUGCUGUACUGCAUUACAAAAUAUCCUUUACUUUUCCUAACUUUUGUGACCUCUGUUAGCCGCUGUCAAGCUUAACAGUUUGCUUUUCAUAAACACAGAGCGACUCGCAGCAGCCUGGGCCAUCAUCGGUAGACAGGAGCGGCACCUCUUGUGCGUCCACUGCAGGAGCUGCAAGUGGUGUCAGCCGACCUCCAAGAGCCGCACCGACCAAAAGUAGCCUGCUUGAACAAGCUGUUUCCGACACGGCAAAGCGAGUAAACAUGGUGGCAGCAAGCAACGAGGUGUCAGAGAAAAUGUUGGAGGAGUCCUGCAAGCAAACUGCUGAACUGCGGGCCAUAAAGGACGAGGUCAGCAGGCUUGCUGACGCUAUGCAACGACAAACAGAGGCGUUCGAGAGGCAGCUGAAGCCCAUCACGGACUUAGCCACGCUGCUUGCAUCGUUAAUUAGAAAUUCAGUUUUGCAGGACUGA